ACGGGUGAGUAACGCGUGGGCAACCUGCCUUAUACAGGGGGAUAACACAGGGAAACUUGUGCUAAUACCGCAUAAGACUAUUGGGUGGCAUCAUCUGGUGGUCAAAGGAGUCAAAUCCGGUAUAAGAUGGGCCCGCGUCCGAUUAGCUAGUUGGGGGUGUAACGGACCACCAAGGCGACGAUCGGUAGCCGGACUGAGAGGUUGGACGGCCACAUUGGGACUGAGACACGGCCCAGACUCCUACGGGAGGCAGCAGUGGGGAAUAUUGCGCAAUGGGGGGAACCCUGACGCAGCAACGCCGCGUGAAGGAUGAAGGUUUUCGGAUUGUAAACUUCUUUAGUCGGGGACGAAGGAUGACGGUACCCGAAGAAUAAGCCACGGCUAACUACGUGCCAGCAGCCGCGGUAAUACGUAGGUGGCAAGCGUUGUCCGGAAUUACUGGGUGUAAAGGGCGUGUAGGCGGGAAUGUAAGUCAGAUGUGAAAUUCCAGGGCUCAACCCUGGCGCUGCACCUGAAACUAUAUUUCUUGAGUGCUGGAGAGGAAAGCGGAAUUCCUAGU
rnacentral:rRNA from 1 species